GAUGCUGAUGGUACCAGCAGAGAUGGCAGCGCUCUACCUGGGUUCCCAUAAUUCACAGUGUACUUUUGCAUCUUUGCGAUGGUUUAGGUCUACAAUGUCUCCCAAAAUCUCAUGUGCUCAGAGGUGGUGCUUUUGAGGUGUAAUUGGAUCAUGGAGUGCCGUGAUCAUCAAUAGAUUCGUACAUGGAUGUGUUCAUGGCUGAGGUGCUUUUGGGGGGGGCCCUGGUUCGUAGUGGUCACUGGGGUGUGAACUGGAAGGGUGUGUUUUUGUUCCUGGCUCCUCCCUUUUCUCUUUGCUUCUGACUUCCCUCAGGUAAGCAGCUUCCUCCACUACCUGCCUUCACCACGCAGUUUCUGGUUUGGAGCCAGCUGACCACGGACUGAACCCUCUGAAACCAUGAUCCAAAACCAACCUUGCCCCCUUAAGUUGUCUGCGGGUCCUUUUCGUAUCCCUGUCUCGAAGUCAGGAAGAUGAGCUCUUCAGAUCUGGUGCGGUGUUGGCGGGUCACAUGCCCCCAAGCCACAGAGCCCAAACCCAACCCAGGACCCAGAACUGAUCAGGACCUGCAAGGCCAGCACCUUGCAGCAGGAGGUGCUGGAGUCCCCUGGAGUCAAUGGAAGUCUGGCCAGGGGCCCAGGGUUCCUGAGACAGGCACAAAACCCCUGUGGAAGGGGACUCAUGCCACCUGAGGGCAGUCACUGGGCUGCUGAGACGGGCGCUUCCCAUCAGCUCAUGACCAGAGUGACACUGGCACCUCUGUGCUCAGCUGGGUCUCGGAAUUACAGAGCAGGCCGGAGCCAGACAGGCGGGGUGAAUCUCGCUCGGCUGGGCCCGAGGUCCCCCGUGGGUCCUGUUCUGCGGGAUUCAGUACUAGGUUCACUGGCUCUGGACCUGGGGGUGGCAGGAACACCAGCCUGGCCACUUUUCCCUGUGUAGUGCCAGGUUCUACUUGGCAGAAGGAAGAAUGUGCCCAGGAUCUGGGGACAGAUGUGGAACAGCCACCAUCGCCCCUGGAGGUCCUCAAGGGUCCUAGUUCGAGGUGGGCAGGGGACCGACAACUUGGCUGUGCCCCUGCCCGCCAGCCUCUCUGACCGCCAGUGGCCCCAGACCAUCCGCUGUGGAAGCAGCUGUCCCCCAGACCUGACACAGCCACCGCCUGCCCCCCAGGUGCCAGCCCCUGCCCUACCCUCUGGUCACCACCUGAGGGCAUGGCCCGAGGUCUCAUCCCUGCAGAUACUGCCAUCCCAUGCUGCCUGGCCAGCUGCCCAGCUAACAUUACCUGGCGGGGGCGGGAGUGGAAGGGCCGGGCUCUGGGGCUCCAGGGCUGAUUGUCACCGAAGUCCACUGCUCUGCCUCUGGGCUGCCGCGCCUCUGUGGUUUUGCUGUAUGUCAGCGUGCGGUUUUCCCAGGGUGCUUUGUGUCUUGCUAUGGAGGUCAUUUACGGGCACAGGCGCUAACCCGCGUCCCCAGAGCAGAUGCAGAAGCCACAGAAAAGGGCUUUGCUGGGCGGAUGUGGUGGGCCUGCUGGGCCCCUGGAUUUGGGGGAGCCAGGAGCGGGGUGGGCACCCCAUCCCCAUGUGACCUGCCAGCCCAGGGGGGGCUCAACAUAGUGUCCCCUUGUAGAUGAAGGCACAUGCAUCCGGGGCCAGCUCCGGGGAGCCGGGGGAGGUGGGCGGCAGCAUAGGACAGCAGAGCGCCCCACCCCGUACGGUUUAAUAGGCCCUUAUCUCAGGGACAUUGCCCAGAGCCGGGCGGGCCUCGUAAACCAAGGGCCUGUUUUAUGUGCUUUCCCACCAGAUGCUGGGGGACCCUGAGAAAGACUCUCUAAGGAGAUUAGAUGGGCUGGGAAGAGGGCUCAGCCUGGGCUUCUCCCUGGGGGCUCAGCCUGGGCUCCCACCCCAUUUCCUCCCUGGCCUCAGCACCCCACUCCUGUUGGGGAGCUCGCCGUGGGGCUGCACGCUGCUCUCUGGUGAGGCCACUGCAGCAGGCCAGAACACUGUGCAGGAAGAGAUGCCAAAUAAUGU
ensembl:lncRNA